rnacentral:rRNA from 1 species
GAGCGGAUGACGGGAGCUUGCUCCCGAAUUCAGCGGCGGACGGGUGAGUAAUGCCUAGGAAUCUGCCUGGUAGUGGGGGACAACGUCUCGAAAGGGACGCUAAUACCGCAUACGUCCUACGGGAGAAAGUGGGGGAUCUUCGGACCUCACGCUAUCAGAUGAGCCUAGGUCGGAUUAGCUAGUUGGUGAGGUAAUGGCUCACCAAGGCGACGAUCCGUAACUGGUCUGAGAGGAUGAUCAGUCACACUGGAACUGAGACACGGUCCAGACUCCUACGGGAGGCAGCAGUGGGGAAUAUUGGACAAUGGGCGAAAGCCUGAUCCAGCCAUGCCGCGUGUGUGAAGAAGGUCUUCGGAUUGUAAAGCACUUUAAGUUGGGAGGAAGGGCAUUAACCUAAUACGUUGAUGUUUUGACGUUACCGACAGAAUAAGCACCGGCUAACUCUGUG